AGAAGAGAGGCAGGAAAUCCGACAACAAAUUGGAACCAAGUUAGUCAGGAGGCUGAGCCAGAGGCCCACAACUGAAGAAUUAGAGCAAAGAAACAUCCUAAAACAAAAGAAUGAAGAAGAGGAACAAGAAGCAAAAAUGGAACUUAAACGCAGACUCAGCAGAAAGCUCAGCCUGAGACCCACAGUGGCAGAGCUACAAGCUCGAAGGAUCCUGCGAUUUAACGAGUAUGUAGAAGUCACGGAUUCUCCUGACUAUGACCGCCGAGCAGACAAGCCCUGGGCCAGGUUAACACCUGCAGACAAGGCAAGAAUCCCAGUGGAUUUUGUGUUGAUUGUAUUGCUUUUCUGGAAGCUCCAAUAUCCACAUCCCCCGUACUUAAGUCAUCCCAGGGGACGAGAUCUUACCAAAUAUUACAACGGUUUUCUGCCUCUGAUUAUUUAAGCCACUUAAGUGAUACAUUUAGUGAUAUCAAUGUAGUUCUUUCAACUAAGUCUCAGAGAAAAGUAGUUAUUUACCAUAUAACCUACCUGCUUUCAUACCUGGAUGAGGAGGGCUUUCUCACAUCCAGGAUUUAUCCUUACUCUUAGAAAAUAUAACUUAUACAACUUAUCAUUUUAAAGGGAUAUGUUAAUAGAAAGGUUUAAUCUUCAUCAAGACUGGCACACUUUUAAUAGAAAUGACAAGACAGCAAAUAGUUUAGGCUAUGUGGGCCAUACAAUCUUUGUUGCAACUGCCCAGUUCUGCCAUUGUAGCAUGA
rnacentral:sRNA from 1 species